rnacentral:rRNA from 1 species
AUUGAACGCUGGCGGCAGGCCUAACACAUGCAAGUCGAGCGGCAGCGGGAAAGUAGCUUGCUACUUUUGCCGGCGAGCGGCGGACGGGUGAGUAAUGCCUGGGAAAUUGCCCAGUCGAGGGGGAUAGCAGUUGGAAACGACUGCUAAUACCGCAUACGCCCUACGGGGGAAAGCAGGGGACCUUCGGGCCUUGCGCGAUUGGAUAUGCCCAGGUGGGAUUAGCUAGUUGGUGAGGUAAUGGCUCACCAAGGCGACGAUCCCUAGCUGGUCUGGGAGGAUGAUCAGCCACACUGGAACUGAGACACGGUCCAGACUCCUACGGGAGGCAGCAGUGGGGAAUAUUGCACAAUGGGGGAAACCCUGAUGCAGCCAUGCCGCGUGUGUGAAGAAGGCCUUCGGGUUGUAAAGCACUUUCAGCGAGGAGGAAAGGUUGAUGCCUAAUACGUAUCAACUGUGACGUUACUCGCAGAAGAAGCACCGGCUAACUCCGUGCCAGCCGCCGCAGUAA